GACGAACGCUGGCGGCGUGCCUAACACAUGCAAGUGGAGCGACGAACCAGACUUCGGUCUGGGGCCAAGCCGCGAACGGGUGAGUAACACGUGGGUAACCUGCCCCGAUGAUCGGGACAACCCGGGGAAACCCGGGCUAAUACCGAAUGUGGUCGCGGUCCGUGAGGACUGUGACGAAAGGAAGCUUCGGCCUCCGCAUCGGGAUGGGCCCGCGGCCCAUUAGCUUGUUGGUGGGGUAAUGGCCUACCAAGGCAUCGAUGGGUAGCUGGUCUGAGAGGACGAUCAGCCACACUGGGUCUGAGACACGGCCCAGACUCCUACGGGAGGCAGCAGUGGGGAAUCUUGCGCAAUGCGCGAAAGCGUGACGCAGCAACGCCGCGUGGGGGAAGAAGGCUCUCGGGUCGUAAACCCCUUUCAGUUGGGACGAAGCUUCGCCGGUGAAUAGCCGGCCGGAGUGACGGUACCUUCACAAGAAGCCCCGGCUAACUACGUGCCAGCAGCCGCAGUAA
rnacentral:rRNA from 1 species